rnacentral:rRNA from 1 species
UACAGAGACUGCAAGCGUUAUUCGGAUUCACUGGGCGUAAAGGGUGCGCAGGCGGCCGAGUGUGUCAGAUGUGAAAUCCCGAGGCUCAACCUCGGAACUGCGUCUGAAACUACUCGGCUAGAGUAUUGGAGAGGGUAACGGAAUUCACGGUGUAGCAGUGAAAUGCGUAGAUAUCGGGAGGAACACCUGUGGCGAAAGCGGCGCACUGGACCAUUACUGACGCUGAUGCACGAAAGCUAGGGGAGCAAACAGG